rnacentral:sRNA from 1 species
UGAGAAGGCAACCAAAGUGCAGGACAUCAAAAACAACCUGAAAGAGGCGAUUGAAACCAUUGUGGCCGCCAUGAGCAACCUGGUGCCCCCCGUGGAGCUGGCCAACCCCGAGAACCAGUUCAGAGUGGACUACAUUCUGAGUGUGAUGAACGUGCCUGACUUUGACUUCCCUCCCGAAUUCUAUGAGCACGCCAAGGCUCUGUGGGAGGAUGAAGGAGUGCGUGCCUGCUACGAACGCUCCAACGAGUACCAGCUGAUUGACUGUGCCCAGUAAUGUGACUGCCAUCAUCUUCGUGGUGGCCAGCAGCAGCUACAACAUGGUCAUCCGGGAGGACAACCAGACCAACCGCCUGCAGGAGGCUCUGAACCUCUUCAAGAGCAUCUGGAACAACAGAUGGCUGCGCACCAUCUCUGUGAUUCUGUUCCUCAACAAGCAAGAUCUGCUCGCUGAGAAAGUCCUUGCUGGGAAAUCGAAGAUUGAGGACUACUUUCCAGAAUUUGCUCGCUACACUACUCCUGAGGAUGCUACUCCCGAGCCCGGAGAGGACCCACGCGUG